GCUGGGGCUGCCAACCCAGGGCUCUGCAUGGCUUCUCCAGCAUGGCGGGGUCUCAGAGUAGCUGGACUUCUUAUGUGGUAGCUGGCUUCCCCCUCCCACUGAGUGGGAAUCUUAAGAGGACGAACUGGAAACUUCAUAAUUUUUUUUUUCUUUGAGAUGGAGUCUCACUCUGUUGCCCAGGCUGGAGUGCAGUGGCCUGAUCUCGGCUCACUGAAACCUCCACCCCUGGGUUCAAGCGAUUCCCCUGCCUCAGCCUCCCGAGUAGCUGGGAUUACAGGUGCCCGCCACAGCGCCCGGCUAAUUUUUGUAUUUUUAGUAGAGACAGUGUUUCACCAUCUUGGCUGUUACACGCCUCCGUAUAAGAGACCACCUGAGCAGGCUUAGUGGAGCAACAAGGCUGUUUAUUCACUUGGGUGCAAGUGGGCUGAGUCAGAGAAAGGAGUCAGCGAAGGGUGGUGGGAGUGGAACUGGUUCUAUAGGUUUGGGGUAGGUAGUGGAAAGUUACAGUUAGGGGCAGUUUUUUUGGGCAGGGGAAGAAUGUUACAAGGUGCAUAGUCACAAGGUGGGGGAAGUCAUAAGGCACGAUAUCACAAGGUGGAUGGAUUAGUUGGGGAAGGGCAGGAACAUAUCACAAGGUGGAUGGAUUAAUUAGGGUAGGGAAGGAACAUAUCACAAGGUGGAUGGAUUAGUUAGGGUAGGGCAGGAACAUGUCACAGUGGUGGAUGGAUUAGUUAGGGUAGGGCAGGAACAUGUCACAAGGUGGAUGGAUUAGUUGGGGAAGGGCAGGAACAAUCACAAGGUGGAUGGAUUAGUUGGGGAAGGGCAGGAACAUAUCACAAGGUGGAUGGAUUAGUUAGGGUAGGGAAGGAACAUAUCACAAGGUGGAUGGAUUAGUUGGGGAAGGGCAGGAACAUAUCACAGUGGUGGAUGGAUUAGUUGGGGAAGGGCAGGAACAUAUCACAAGGUGGAUGGAUUAGUUGGGGAAGGGCAGGAACAUAUCACAGUGGUGGAUGGAUUAGUUGGGGGAAGGGCAGGAACAUAUCACAAGGUGGAUGGAUUAGUUAGGGUAGGGCAGGAACAUAUCACAGUGGUGGAUGGAUUAGUUGGGGAAGGGCAGGAACAAUCACAAGGUGGAUGGAUUAGUUGGGGAAGGGCAGGAACAUAUCACAAGGUGGAUGGAUUAGUUGGGGAAGGGCAGGAACAUGUCACAAUGGUGGAUGGAUUAGUUGGGGAAGGGCAGGAACAUGUCACAAUGGUGGAUGGAUUAGUUGGGGAAGGGCAGGAACAUAUCACAAGGUGGAUGGAUUAGUUGGGGAAGGGCAGGAACAUAUCACAAGGUGGAUGGAUUAGUUGGGGAAGGGCAGGAACAUAUCACAAGGUGGACUGUUGCAAGGUCGGUUAAUCAUUAAGGCAGGAACUAGCUGUUCCGUCUUCUUUAGUGGUUCUCCUGUUGCUCCAGGCUUUGUGACUCCAGGAGGCCUGUAACGUGUGGGUCACAGGGGUCACAAUGGCUCGACCAUGGGGUAGCCCAUUCAGGGGACCUUCCACUGGCCAGGUUGGUCUUGAACUCGUGACCUCAUGAUCCACCCGCCUCGGCCUCCCAAAGUGCUGGAAUUACAGGCGUGAGCCACCGCGUCCCGCCCAAAGCUGCAUAAUUUUUUAUCCUCAAAAGUUAAGCAGCUUUCCUUCCCCUACAGUCAGUGUUAUAAGUGAGUCACUAACGUCAGCCCACUUUUGAGUAGAGGGGACAUAGAUUCCCACAGCUCAAUGGGAGGAGUGUCAAAAAAAUGUAUGAGCAUAUUUUAAAACCAUUGCAAAGUAUGUCAUGGGGAGAGUGUCCAGAGGAGAGAUGACUGAGUUGGGUUAAAUUGCCAGGCCACAGAAAAUGCUUAAGUAUUACAACUGGUAAAUCAUAAGAGUUAUGGUUGAUGUGGCUCCCAGUCAGUUGAGUGGUAAUGGGGCUGGUGGACUCAUGUUUGGGAACGAAGAAGAGAGAAGGUUCAAGAGUGAGAACUGAAAUCACUGCUGUCUCUCCAUCCCUGUCCCAGGGGAAAAUCCAUUGCCCAGCCAUUACCAGCUCCUUGAGACUGCCUGCAUUUCUUGGCUCGAGACCCCUUCUUCGGAUCUCCCCAGUCUCUUGCCUCUGCCAGCACAUCCCCUGCCACUGACCCUGACUCUCCUGUAUCCCUCUCAGAAGGAUCUUGUGAUUACAUGGGGUCCAUGUCGAUAAUCCUGCAUGACUUCCCCACUUCAAAAUCCUUAGUCAUAUCUGCAAAAUCCCUUUCACCAUCUAAAAUAACAUACUCAUGGGUUCUGGGGUUUAGGGGCCCAAUGCUCCUAGUACCUUUCAUGGGAAUCUUUACCUCCAGAAAUGGGGAGAAGUGGGCAGGGACUCCCUUCAUACACAAGACACGGCUGCCUCCUGCCACAACCCCAAAUACUUAUACACUUGCCUUUUUACAUCUGAGCUGGAACGACCCCACCUCAAUGUCAUGGGGCCAGGGUGGGAGACAGAGGAGCUACAACAUCUGCUUGGCUAUUGUUAGGGACAAACAAAGCAGCCACGGUUGCUUAGUGAUGACUUCUGGUUCCACCUGAGUGCUUUGGCCACCCAUAUUGCUCUCAGAGCUCUUUAAAGAUGAGUUAUUGUGCCCGGAGUGGUGGCUGAUGCCUGUAAUCCCAGGACUUUGGGAGGCUGAAGUGGACAGAUCACCUGAUGUUAGGAGUUCAAGACCAGCCACCUAACCAACAUGGAGAAACCCCAUCUCUACUAAAAGUACGAAAUUAGCAGGGCAUGGUGGCGCAUGCCUGUAAUCCCAGCUACUCUGGAG
rnacentral:lncRNA from 10 species